AAGAUGGCUGUGCGGCUGAUUAGGUUAGUUGGCGGGGUAAAGGCCCACCAAGCCUGCGAUCAGUAACUGGUGUGAGAGCACGACCAGUCACACGGGCACUGAGACACGGGCCCGACUCCUACGGGAGGCAGCAGUAAGGAAUAUUGGUCAAUGGAGGCAACUCUGAACCAGCCAUGCCGCGUGGAGGAUGAAGGUCCUCUGGAUUGUAAACUUCUUUAUAUGGGACGAAAAGAGGCUUUCUAAGUCGUCUGACGGUACCAUAUGAAUAAGCACCGGCUAACUCCGUG
rnacentral:rRNA from 1 species